GCGAGAGUGGCGGAAUGGCAUACGCGGCGGACUUAGGAUCCGCCGGGGCGACCCGUGUGGGUUCGAAUCCCACCUCUCGCACCA
rnacentral:tRNA from 1 species